rnacentral:rRNA from 1 species
GCAAGUCGAACGCUGACGCAUUCUUCGGCAUGUGGCAGAGUGGCGAACGGGUGAGGAACACGUAAGACUCUGCCCCUCGGUCGGGGACCACUCUUGGAAACGAGAGCUAAUACCCGAUACGCUGUGGAGUGAAAGAAUUUCGCCGAGGGAUGAUCUUGCGUCUGAUUAGCUAGUUGGUGUGGUAAUGGCAUACCAAGGCGACGAUCAGUAGCUGGUCUGAGAGGAUGGAC